rnacentral:rRNA from 1 species
AGUAUAAGUGGCGGACGGGCUGUUUUCGCGGUGGGAAUCUACCCAGUAGUGGGGGACAACUACNGGAAACGGUAGCUAAUACCGCAUACGCCCUAUGGGGGAAAGGCUUCGGCCGCUAUUGGAUGAGCCCGCGUCAGAUUAGCUAGUUGGUAGGGUAAAGGCCUACCAAGGCAACGAUCUGUAGCUGGUCUGAGAGGACGAACAGCCACACUGGGACUGAGACACGGCCCAGACUCCUACGGGAGGCAGCAGUGGGGAAUAUUGGACAAUGGGCGAAAGCCUGAUCCAGCAAUGCCGCGUGUGUGAAGAAGGCCUGCGGGUUAUAAAGCACUUUCAGUUGGGAAGAUGAUGACGUUACCAACAGAAGAAGCACCGGCUAAAUCCGUGCCAGCAGCCGCGGUAAUACGGAUGGUGCGAGCGUUAAUCGGAAUUACUGGGCGUAAAGCGCGCGUAGGCGGCUAAGUCAGUCAGAAGUGAAAGCCCCGGGCUCAACCUGGGAAUUGCUUUUGAUACUGCUUAGCUAGAGUUUGGUAGAGGAUAGUGGAAUUCCAGGUGUAGCGGUGAAAUGCGUAGAUAUCUGGAGGAACAUCAGUGGCGAAGGCGACUGUCUGGACCAAAACUGACGCUGAGGUGCGAAAGCGUGGGUAGCAAACAGGAUUAGAUACCCUGGUAG